AGUCCUCAAUAUGUUACAAACGAAAUUGAGACUCUUCAAUUGACGAAAAGAAACUUAAAUGUAACUUUGGUUCCUAAUAUUGGUAUAUCACCAUCAAAAGACGGGAUUGCACACGGAAGAGCAAAAACACCAGAUUCAACCGAGAAUGCAUCUUCAAAUGCAUAUAUUACAGUUGUUGUAGUGUUGUCAGUAUUGGUCGUAGUCUGUAUAGCAGUAGUCAUUUCUCUUGUAUUGUUACGAAAGCGCAAGCGUUAUACAAAUCAAG